ensembl:lncRNA
AAUCCCAUUACAGAAACAUUUAUCAGAAAUGUAUGUGGGUGGAUGAGCUGCUCAAGGCACUUGAAAAACACAGGCAAAUAGUAUAUUAAGCAGCAUCUCCCUCCGGCAGCCUUACAACCUUUCACUGAUAUGAUCACUGAUACAAUCUGGUCUAUCAAGACUGGAAACAUUUCCUAAAAGAUGAAGCUAUCCAGGGCAAUCUACCCAAUACUCUGUGAUGGCCUAUAUGGGAAAAGAAUCUGAAAAAGAAUGGACAUCUGCAUAUCCAUAACUGAUUCAUUUCGUGUACAGUUGAAGCUAACACAACACUGACCUUGAGCACAAAGGAGCUCACAGUGAAGCAGAAGAAUUGCACAGAAAGGAGAGAAGAUGCUGGUGGUGGGUACAUGGGAGCCUUAGUGGAGCCUGCCUGCCAGAAGGCCUGAUGGGAGACUGAGGCUGGAGUUGGCUGCAGUGUCUGACACUAUUUUUGAUUACAAAGUUAUUAAACAUAACUUUCUGUCAUCAAGACACAAGUCUGGUCAAGGGAGAAAAAUAAACAAAGCACACUUCACCUCAGAGCUAUAACAGUCAUUAAGUAAUAGCCCACUGAUUGAUGUGGAGAAAUAACCUAUGUAUCUACUUCUAGACCUUUAUCUCUACCUAGAAAAAUCAAUGAUGAUAGAAAAUAAAUUGAUACUAAAAUAUUAGUAUAUUUAAUAUUGUUAUUAAACAAUUAAAAUGUUAUAAAUGUAUUUUUAAAAUCAAAAGAUAAACUCUCAAUAUAAAUUUAAAGUGGACAUAUCCAUCCCUAGUUUUUAAAAAUAUUAACAGUUUUGAAAUAUAAGUACAUUAGUGCUAAAUAUUAAAGUGAUAUCUUUUUACACAUAGCCUCUGAAGGGCAGCAAAUUUGUUUUUGUUUCUCCAGUGCUUGCACAGUGCCUGAUAUACUAUAGGUCAGCCUUUCAAUUUGUUGAAAGGCUGUGAAAUCACUGGAACCAACUAAAUUAUUAUUGCCCAAUAAUAUUAUUUAUUAAUAAAAAUACUGUCCAAUAUUUUGUAUAUGUGAUACAUUUCCAGGGUAUUGUACAGUCCCCUUAAUUGAGUGCUGAAAGACAAAGAAUGCAGUGCUUUAGAUACAAGAGAUGUUAUAUCUACUCAUAUAAUGAUAUUAAAAAAGCACAACACUAGCCUUUUAAUUUUAUAACUCCUUGUUUUCAUUUCACAGCUAUGUGAAAUAGAGCACAGUAACAUUGCAAUUUUGGAAAAAUGACCUAGACAGCAAGACAAAUUUCCCAGAAGGGAGAUAUUUGGCGUCAGUGAAAGGGAAUUGUUUAACAAACCAGUCAGAAUAACUGCAACUAAACAUCCAUUAUAUGAUGUUAGACUAGCCUAGGGAAUCAAUUGAUAUUUUAAUAGAGUUUGUUGAUGAAAAUUUCCUUCUUUAGGAAAAUAAAAACAUUUGAUACUUCUUACAUACCUAGAAAAAUUGAUAAUAGUAUAUUGGGGUAUAUUGGUGUUUUUUUAAAUUAUGAUUAAUGCAAUGUGUCUAGAUUUAUUUUUUCCAAGAUUUUUCCAUCUGUUGGUGCCAUCAACUCUUGAACAAAUUGGGGGAUUGUUGUAUUAUCUUGUUUCAUGAACAAUACGGCAAAGAUAACAUUUAACUCCUUUCAUUUCUCUGUGCUAAGACUCUUCACUGUAAACUUUUUACUUUCACGGAAAAUCAAGAGGAAAUUUUAUACCACUUCAAUCACACGUUUCUUUUUUUCCCCCUUUCUUCAAGCUUAAAAUGUGCACCAAAUACAAUAUGCUCAUAUGUAAAAUUCUAAACAAAUAUUUAAUGAAGAAUUACACGUGCAAGUCAUCAUAUCAGAAGAAAUAAAUGACAAUGUGAUAUAAAACACAGUCCUUUUCCUACACAUUGUUUACAUUUGGUCAACCAGACCUAUAAAAAUAAUUCAAACAAUAAAUGCUAAUAUUGCUCCCUAUCCCCAGAAACUAAUCUCCAUGUUCUGAUGCCAAUGCCAGUGAGUGUGAAUCACUAUCAUCAGGUCCCUAAGAAGAAAAAUGGGUACCACAAAGACUCCUUCCUCUCCUUAAUCCUAAAUAUAUAAAUGCCCUAGAUUCUGCCAUGUUAAUUUAUCUUUAACUGACUCCUCCUUCUUCCUUCAUCUUUCACAUUGGCAGAAACGGUUUGUUGCCCCAAAAUUAAACCCUGAUCCCAUUAUAACCCACCAAAAACUUUGCACUUGCCUAGAGAAUAAAUUAUCUUGCUUCUUUCUCAUGGCACCUGCUAGUACCUAGUAUCUUUCAGCCUCAUCAAACUGCUAGAAGUUCUGCAUAUUCUGCUGUUUUGAUCACUGUGCUCUGAUAGAUCAAACAUCUGUAUGACAUUAAUCCUUGCACUCAGUCAUUUUUUUUCCAGCAAAUAUUUACUGAAGACCUAGUAGCUGCUCUAGAUUCAGAUCUGGGAUAAAAAAAAAAAAUCACCUAAAUAUGUAAAUCUUAAGGAGAUCAGAGUGAAGCCAAGAGUAAAAUUAAUCAGACAGUCAUGCUCUUUUUAUGACCUCAACUCCUGCCCACUCCUAGCUCCUCACUUUGCUGCAGCCUUCUAACCUCUUUGUUGACCAAACAGCUCAAGCUGGCUCUCACUUCAGGGUCUUGACACAUUGUUCCUUUUGCUUGAAAUACUCUUCUUCUGGGGAGUGCGUUGUCUAACUCCCUUAUCUUAUUUGGGUCUCUGUUCAAAUAUCUUCUAAUAAUAUUUUCCAGGGUAAAAAGUGAUCUGUUCCUUUGUCACUUUUUUUUUCCUUCAAAAUAUUUAUCGCUAUAGAUAUUAUAUGUAUAACUGUUGAUUUUUCAAUGCAGGUUCUAUUAAGGAUGGAUCUCUUCUAUUAGUCUGCUGCUGUUUCCUCAAACCUUAAAAUAGCGUCUUGUGUAGUGGUUAUAUAUUUGGUAUAAAUUCAUUAUAUAUAUAUUUAAUUAUACAUUGAAUGUUACACUAAGAUGAUAGGGUGAGAUGAUAUAUAAAUUAACAAUGGAAGAUUAGUACAGUUCUCUAAGAGAUGGGAAUUUCCUUUUGCAUAUUAAUGAGGAAUAGGGUAUUUAGAUAGACUAUCUCUUUUUACUGCAAAAAGGCCACUUGUAGUUCAUUUAGGUAAAAGAAUGACAUAGAAAAUAUAUUAAAAAAAUCCAUCACAAAACUGUUCAAGACAUACUUUGUUAUUCAAUAUUUAGUGCAAAUGCUUUUCCGAACAUAAAAAUAAAGUAAAAUUGUGCAA